rfam:Felis catus isolate Cinnamon breed Abyssinian chromosome C1, whole genome shotgun sequence.
ACCUGAGUGGCUCAGUCGGCUAAGCAUCUGACUUCGGCUCAGGUCACGAUCCCACGGUCUGUGAGUUCAAGCCCCACAUCAGGCG